GUCCAGUAGUUUGAGUGCUGCAUUUAUGAUCUUGGUGCAGUCUGACAGCAGUCUGUAUCUUUGUACUGUUGUCCAACAAUGUUUGGGCUGUGUUCAUGCACGACACAGUCCGGACUGGAUCACCCACAUUCUACGUGGUCGUCUGGCAGUCGUACAUGGCUGUCCGACUAUCUGUCCCUCAUGACUGUGUCUCGAUUAUUGCCAUUGUUGCCGUUUCGGCCUCAGUCAGCCUGGUUUAUGCGCAUUCGUACUAUGUGUGACGGAGGUCUGACAAAGGUGUGAUAUUUAUAUGA